UGUGCCCUUCGAGUGCAGUCUCGCGGCCACCUCCCACCCGUGUCUCUCUCUACCUGUUGCUUUGGCGGGCCCACCGGGGCCACCCGGUCGCCGGGGGACGUCGUCCCCGGGCCCGCGCCCGCCGAAGCGCUCUGUGAACCCUGAUGAAGAUGGGCUGUCUGAGUCGAAUGAAAAUUGUCAAAACUUUCAACAAUGGAUCUCUUGGUUCCGGCAUCGAUGAAGAACGCAGCGAAAUGCGAUAAGUAAUGUGAAUUGCAGAAUUCCGUGAAUCAUCGAAUCUUUGAACGCACAUUGCGCCCCCUGGCAUUCCGGGGGGCAUGCCUGUCCGAGCGUCAUUUCUGCCCUCAAGCCCGGCUUGUGUGUUGGGCGUGGUCCCCCCGGGGACCUGCCCGAAAGGCAGCGGCGACGUCCGUCUGGUCCUCGAGCGUAUGGGGCUCUGUCACUCGCUCGGGACGGAUCGGCGGAGGUUGGUCACCACCACAGUUUUACCACGGUUGACCUCGGAUCAGGUAGGAGUUACCCGCUGAACUUAAGCAUAUCAAUAAGCGGAGGAA
rnacentral:rRNA from 1 species